UAGGGAAUCUUCCGCAAUGGACGCAAGUCUGACGGAGCAACGCCGCGUGAGUGAAGAAGGAUUUCGGUUCGUAAAACUCUGUUGUUAGAGAAGAACAGCGCAUAGAGUAACUGUUAUGCGUGUGACGGUAUCUAACCAGAAAGCCACGGCUAACUACGUGCCAGCAGCCGCGGUAAUACGUAGGUGGCAAGCGUUGUCCGGAUUUAUUGGGCGUAAAGCGAGCGCAGGCGGUCAAUUAAGUCUGAUGUGAAAACCCCCGGCUCAACCGGGGAGGGUCAUUGGAAACUGGUUGACUUGAGUGCAGAAGAGGAGAGUGGAAUUCCAUGUGUAGCGGUGAAAUGCGUAGAUAUAGGGAGGAACACCGGUGGCGAAAGCGGCUCUCUGGUCUGUAACUGACGCUGAGGCUCGAAAGCGUGGGGAGCGAACAGG
rnacentral:rRNA from 1 species